rnacentral:rRNA from 1 species
GACGAACGCUGGCGGCGUGCUUAACACAUGCAAGUCGAACGGAAAGGCCCUGCUUUUGUGGGGUGCUCGAGUGGCGAACGGGUGAGUAACACGUGAGUAACCUGCCCUUGACUUGGGGAUAACUUCAGGAAACUGGGGCUAAUACCGGAUAGGAGCUCCUGCUGCAUGGUGGGGGUUGGAAAGUUUCGGCGGUUGGGGAUGGACUCGCGGCUUAUCAGCUUGUUGGUGGGGUAGUGGCUUACCAAGGCUUUGACGGGUAGCCGGCCUGAGAGGGUGACCGGCCACCUUGGGACUGCGAUACGGCCCAGACUCCUACGGGAGGCAGCAGUGGGGAAUAUUGUACAAUGGGCGGAAGCCUGAUGCAGCAACGCCGCGUGCGGGAUGACGGCCUUCGGGUUGUAAACCGCUUUCGCCUGUGACGAAGCGUGAGUGACGGUAAUGGGUAAAGAAGCACCGGCUAACUACGUG